CGGCCCAGCCCCGGGCGCGGCCGGCCCGAGGAGCGUCCCCGGAGGCGCGGGGGCUUAGGGCCCCCGGGGAGCUGCCUCCGGAGGGGCCGGGAGGGCAGCCCCUGAGCAGGCACUUUAGACUGGCAAUUGAAUUACCAGGACAUGUCUGUGCACCAGACUCCCAGCC
rnacentral:lncRNA from 1 species